rnacentral:tRNA from 1 species
GCCGAAGUGGUGGAAUUUGGUAGACACGCUACUUUGAGGGGGUAGUGACCGCAAGGUUGUGCCGGUUCAAGUCCGGCCUUCGGCA